AGGAGGAAAGUAUUCUUUGGAUGGGGAAAUUUUUUUAGGGAUCUUCAUAGCGUCGGGAUAUAUUUUGUCCAAUUUUUUUUAUGAAGAUCUCCCGACACUAUAUUCUAUUGCGUUGGGAGAAAAUAAAUUGCCAUACGCCAUAUAUAGGGUCGGGAAGGUAAGUUUAAAACCCUAUUUUGUUCUUUCUUUUCCACUUUUUCACUCUUCUAAUUUUUCAGUAGCAUCUCUCCCAAACCUCUUUGCUUUUCACACCCAAGCCUCCGUCCAGCCUCUGACGACGCUUGCCCAGCCUCCUAUGAUGUCGUCCAGCGCCUAUCGAAGCUUGUCCAGCCUUCAUUCAUGUAUUCUAGCCCCGAACAUCUGUGUCUACCCUCUCAUCAUCGCCCAGCCUUUAUCCACGCAUCCCAGCCUCGAACGCGGCAAGCCCUGCCCUUUCUGCUGCAAAUGCUAGAGGUGGUAGUGAAAACAGGGGAUAUGUGGUGUCGGUUCAUGUUUUAGAGCCAUAUGACAAUUUCGAUUCAAAUACUUUUCAUAUUCAUGAGGAUCUCUGCAAAUCCAAGCAGGUGGAUUUUCAAGUCAGGAUUUGUGGAGGAGAAUCCUACAUUUUUUAAUUGACUCAUCAGGGAUAAUGGUUUACUUCAGAUGGCGAAGUCUUUAAACUUUCUUCAUAGUAAUUCUUAUCUCAUUCACAGAGUUAUAUCUCCAGAGGUAUCUCAGAGUUUAUGUUCAAGCAAGAAGUAGAGAAGAAUCAACAUAUGUUUUGUGGAUAUUAUGUGUAGAUUUGUAAUUUUUAGGCAUGUCGGAGUUUAUGUUUUGUGAAUAUUAUGUAAUUGUAAUUAACUUUGUGAAACUAAAUUGUAUGUUAUGUAAGAAAACUAAUUGAAUGCAAAAGUUGUUGUUUUUAGUUUACU